ACAACAUAGUAACAAUUUUCGGAUGUUCGCACUUCAAAUACUCACCCUAUAAGUAUACUUGUAUACGCACAUAUGUUUGCGUCAAGAGUCUUACAGUUUUCCACUGUUUAGUUAUCCAAAAAAGAAUUCAAAUAUGUCUGCUGUGCACAAUGUCUGGCUUUUCUACAUUUCGAUCGUUUUCGCAAUUUGUAGAGCUGAAGGAAAACCAAACGUACAGAUUCCUUUACUGGAUAAUAAUAAAGCUCCUCUAUAUGCUAACUUUAAUAUGUCAGGUCUAAAUCAACAACUGAGGAAGAUCUUUAAACAGGAAGUCGAGCGCAUUAUACAGAAUACAGUUAAUGUGAGCUGCGAAGAACUAUACCAGAAGAUAGGGAAAGGCUGUUAUUCUAUUCACGAUGACAACAUAUCUGGUGAUGCAGCAUUUGCGAGCUGUACAGACCCUGGUGCAUACCUUGCUAAUUUUGAAACUCUUGAAGAAGCCAUGAUCAUGAAAUUGUUCCUUCAGAAGAAGAAUUCAGGUA